UACAGAGGUGGCAAGCGUUGUUCGGAUUCAUUGGGCGUAAAGGGUGCGUAGGCGGCGCGGUAAGUCGGGUGUGAAAUCUCGGAGCUUAACUCCGAAACUGCAUUCGAUACUGCCGUGCUUGAGGACUGGAGAGGAGACUGGAAUUUACGGUGUAGCGGUGAAAUGCGUAGAUAUCGUAAGGAAGACCAGUGGCGAAGGCGGGUCUCUGGACAGUUCCUGAUGCUGAGGCACGAAGGUCAGGGGAGCAAACGGG
rnacentral:rRNA from 1 species